AGGGGUGAAAGGCCAAUCAAAUUCCGUGAUAGCUGGUUCUCUCCGAAAUGCAUUUAGGUGCAGCGUCGGGGAUUACGUCCGGGGGGUAGAGCUACUGGAUGCUUGAGGGCCCGUAUCGGGUACCGACAGCAGCCAAACUCCGAAUACCCGUGACGCGUAUCCCGGCAGUGAGUCGGCGGGGGAUAAGCUCCGUCGUCGAAAGGGAGACAGCCCAGAUCGUCGUCUAAGGUCCCCAAGCGCGUGCUAAGUGGGAAAGGAUGUGGAGUCGCAUAGACAGCCAGGAGGUUGGCUCAGAAGCAGCCACCCUUGAAAGAGUGCGUAACAGCUCACUGGUCUAGUGGUUCCGCGCCGACAAUGUAGCGGGGCUCAAGCACGCCACCGAAGACGCGGCAGCGUCCGUUUGGAUGCUGGGUAGGAGAGCGUCCCCAUCGGGGCGAAGCGGCGGCGCAAGCCUGCCGUGGACCGUUGGGGAGUGAGAAUGCAGACAUGAGUAGCGAGAGGCGGGUGCGAAUCCCGCCCGCUGGAUGACCAAGGGUUCCGGGGCCACGUUCGUCGUCCCCGGGUGAGUCGGGUCCUAAGGCGAGGCCGACAGGCGUAGUCGAAUGGAUGAACGGGCUGAUAUUCCCGUACCGGCAGCGAACCGAAACAACCGAGGCCUGGGGCGCUAACCUCCGGGUCCGUGCCGUCUCCCCUUUCGGGGGGUCGCGGCGCGGGCGCGUUGGGAUCCCCCCUCGUAGUAGGUCAGCGCAGGAGUGACGCAUCAGGGCAGCCGGCCGCGGAGGUGGUUUUCCGUGGUCAAGCGUUCGAGCCCGUCCCGCAGGCAAAUCCGCGGGGCGUCGGGGCGAGGCGUGAUGAUGGGGGCCUUACGGCCCGAAUCCGGUGAUCCGUGGUGCCGAGAAAAGCUUCGGCGUCAGGCGCGUUGCCGCCCGUACCCCAAACCGACACUGGUGGUCAGGUAGAGAAUACCAAAGCGAUCGAGCGAAUCCUGGUCAAGGAACUCGGCAAAUUGCUCCCGUGCCUUCGGCAUAAGGGAGACCCCCUGCGGUGAUGAGCGGCGGGGGGUGGCACAGGCCAGGGGGUAGCGACUGUUUACCAAAAACACAGGAGCGUGCGAAGGCGCAAGCCGCUGUAUACGCUCUGACGCCUGCCCGGUGCCGGAAGGUUAAGAGGAUCCGUCAGCUUCUGCGAAGCGGUGAAUUCAAGCCCCGGUAAACGGCGGUGGUAACUAUAACCAUCCUAAGGUAGCGAAAUUCCUUGUCGGGUAAGUUCCGACCUGCACGAAUGGCGUAA
rnacentral:rRNA from 1 species